rnacentral:rRNA from 1 species
GAUUAAGUUAUUAAGGGCGCACGGUGGAUGCCUUGGCACUAGAAGCCGAUGAAGGACGUUACUAACGACGAUAUGCUUUGGGGAGCUGUAAGUAAGCUUUGAUCCAGAGAUUUCCGAAUGGGGAAACCCAACAUGAGUUAUGUCAUGUUAUCGAUAUGUGAAUACAUAGCAUAUCAGAAGGCACACCCGGAGAACUGAAACAUCUUAGUACCCGGAGGAAGAGAAAGAAAAUUCGAUUCCCUUAGUAGCGGCGAGCGAAACGGGAAGAGCCCAAACCAACAAGCUUGCUUGUUGGGGUUGUAGGACACUC